AAAAAUGAAUAAAAAUAGCAUAGCCCAAGUCUUUUUUUAACAGCUGAACUUUAUCUGUAUUUUCGAUUUCGUCACCGCCGUGAAAAUUUUCCAACUCCGUCACUGAGCCUAAUACUAAAACCAUAAAUUAAUAAUAUCAACACUUCUUCUUCGUGUUAAUAAUCCACUCUCUUCCGUGCCUUUUGCAGGUGGUUGCCCUAGCAGGUAUAUUUCUUCGUAGGUAUCUGUUAUCUGUUAUCAAAACCCUAUAAUAUGUGAUUGAAUUGUCUUUCAUUUUCAAUAUUUUAGAUUCCCUAAUGUUUUCUAUUUGUUUGGCAAUGGGUAAAACUUAUUCUGAACCUGUAUUAGUGUAUGAAAUUGGGGGAAAGUAAUUGAUUGAAAUUGUAAUUCAUGUGCGUUGUAUGUGUUUUGUGUUUUUUGAUUUUCUUCGGCGGGUUUUCAAUUCACUGUUUGAAUGAUGAGGUUUUGAGGGAAAAUAGAGGGAUUUGAG
rnacentral:lncRNA from 1 species